ACCGCGCGGUCUCUAAUUCGCUUGGUGCAGGUCGGGAACCGCUGCUGCUACUGCGAUUUUCGCGCGUAAUGAGGGAGCGGUCGCCGGCGGCAAAUUGGAUCCCGCCUUGCAUCAACUGAAUCGGAGACCGCUGUGGU
rnacentral:pre_miRNA from 1 species